ACCAGUCACUUGAUCAAACACAUUAUUAGUCACUUCAUCAUCAUAAGAAAAAUGGUCACCCUUCCCAAACAUAAGUUUUAGGGUCAACAUGAAAGAAGUAUUUAAGUGUUUACCGCCAGUUUUACAGCAGAUUGCUUUUCCGACAAUUCCAACAAACUGCUUCAGCUUCGAUCUGUGGAGCGAAAAGAGAUUAACCAAUAUGUCCAGACUGUUGAAGAUCAUCCUGGUGGUGGCCAUGUGUGUGCUCUUUUUAGCCACACUGACGUUCAGCGCAGAGGCCCACACAAAA